CGGGCCGCCGCCACGCCGCCAGGGCACCGGGCAACAGAUGGAGGCGCCCAGAAGCUGAUGAUAGAACAACUCAAACCUGUGCCACGACCCACCGCAUUUAAAGAACUUCAGCCAGAACAGCCUAAACAACAACGGAACAUGGCACUGCCAUCCCAAGAAUCUUUCACUACAAGAGGAAAUGAACAGCCAAAAACUUACAUAAACUUCAACAAAUGUGUAUAAAGACUUGAACAGUC